rnacentral:rRNA from 1 species
CUCGUAGGUGGUUUGUCGCGUUGUUCGUGAAAACUCACAGCUCAACUGUGGGCGUGCGGGCGAUACGGGCAGACUGGAGUACUGCAGGGGAGACUGGAAUUCCUGGUGUAGCGGUGAAAUGCGCAGAUAUCAGGAGGAACACCGGUGGCGAAGGCGGGUCUCUGGGCAAAUACUGACGCUGAGGAGCGAAAGCAUGGGUAGCAAACA